AUUGAACGCUGGCGGCAUGCCUUACACAUGCAAGUCGAACGGCAGCACGGGUACUUGCACCUGGUGGCGAGUGGCGAACGGGUGAGUAAUAUAUCGGAACGUACCUUAUUGUGGGGGAUAACGCAGCGAAAGCUGUGCUAAUACCGCAUAAUCCCUAAGGGGGAAAGCGGGGGACCGUAAGGCCUCGCGCAAUUAGAGCGGCCGAUACCUGAUUAGCUAGUUGGUGAGGUAAAGGCUCACCAAGGCAGCGAUCAGUAGCUGGUCUGAGAGGACGAUCAGCCACACUGGGACUGAGACACGGCCCAGACUCCUACGGGAGGCAGCAGUGGGGAAUUUUGGACAAUGGGGGCAACCCUGAUCCAGCAAUGCCGCGUGAGUGAAGAAGGCCUUCGGGUUGUAAAGCUCUUUUGUCAGGGAAGAAACAGCAGCUCUAACACAGUUUGCGAAUGACGGUACCUGAAGAAUAAGCACCGGCUAACUACGUGCCAGCAGCCGCCGUAA
rnacentral:rRNA from 1 species